AACGCACAUUGCGCCCGCCAGUAUUCUGGCGGGCAUGCCUGUUCGAGCGUCAUUUCAACCAUCAAGCCCACGGCUUGUGUUGGGGACCUGCGGCUGCCCGCAGGCCCUGAAAACCAGUGGCGGGCUCGCUGUCACACCGAGCGUAGUAGCAUCAUUCUCGCUCAGGGCGUGCUGCGGGUUCCGGCCGUUAAACGACCUUCAUAACCCAAGGUUGACCUCGGAUCAGGUAGGAAGACCCGCUGAACUUAA
rnacentral:misc_RNA from 1 species